GGCUGGUUAGCUCAGCUGGUUAGAGCGUGGUGCUGAUAACACCAAGGCCCCUGGUUCAAUCCAUGUAUUGGCCA